rnacentral:rRNA from 1 species
UACACGACCGUACCGCAAACCGACACUGGUGCGCGAGAUGAGUAUUCUGAGGCGCUUGAGAGAACUCAGGAGAAGGAACUCGGCAAAUUGACACCGUAACUUCGGAAGAAGGUGUGCCUUUAGUAGGUGAACCAUUUACUUGGGGAGCCCAAUGAGGCUGCAAAAAAUCGGUGGCUGCAACUGUUUAUUAAAAACACAGCACUCUGCUAAGACGAAAGUCGACGUAUAGGGUGUGACGCCUGCCCGGUGCUGGAAGAUUAAAUGAUGGGGUGCAAGCUCUUGAUUGAAGUCCCAGUAAACGGCGGCCGUAACAAUAACGGUCCUAAGGUAGCGAAAUUCCUUGUCGGGUAAGUUCCGACCUGCACGAAUGGCGUAAUGAUGGCCACACUGUCUCCUCCUGAGACUCAGCGAAGUUGAAAUGUUUGUGAUGAUGCAAUCUCCCCGCGGAAAGACGGAAAGACCCCAUGAACCUUUACUGUAGCUUUGUAUUGGACUUUGAACAGAUCUGUGUAGGAUAGGUGGGAGGCUUUGAAGUGUGGUCGCUAGAUCGCAUGGAGCCAACGUUGAAAUACCACCCUGGUGUGUUUGAGGUUCUAACCUAGGUCCAUUAUCUGGAUCGGGGACAGUGCAUGGUAGGCAGUUUGACUGGGGCGGUCUCCUCCCAAAGUGUAACGGAGGAGUUCGAAGGUACGCUAGUUACGGUCGGACAUCGUGAUAAUAGUGCAAUGGCAUAAGCGUGCUUAACUGCGAGACUGACAAGUCGAGCAGAUGCGAAAGCAGGACAUAGUCAUCCGGUGGUUCUGUAUGGAGGGGCCAUCGCUCAACGGAUAAAAGGUACUCUGGGGAUAACAGGCUGAUACCGCCCAAGAGUUCAUAUCGACGGCGGUGUUUGGCACCUCGAUGUCGGCUCAUCUCAUCCUGGGGCUGUAGCCGGUCCCAAGGGUAUGGCUGUUCGCCAUUUAAAGAGGUACGUGAGCUGGGUUUAAAACGUCGUGAGACAGUUUGGUCCCUAUCUUCCGUGGGCGCUGCAGAUUUGAGGAAGCCUGCUCCUAGUACGAGAGGACCGGAGUGGACGAACCUCUGGUGUAUCGGUUGUCACGCCAGUGGCAUUGCCGAGUAGCUAAGUUCGGAAGAGAUAACCGCUGAAAGCAUCUAAGCGGGAAACUCGUUUCAAGAUUAGAUCUGCCGGGGCCUUGAGCCCCCUAAAGAGUCGUUCAAGACCAGGACGUUGAUAGGUCAGGUGUGGAAGCG